GACGAACGCUGGCGGCGUGCUUAACACAUGCAAGUCGAACGGAAAGGCCCUGCUUUUGUGGGGUGCUCGAGUGGCGAACGGGUGAGUAAAACGUGAGUAACCUGCCCUUGACUUUGGGAUAACUUCAGGAAACUGGGGCUAAUACCGGAUAGGAGCUCCUGCUGCAUGGUGGGGGUUGGAAAGUUUCGGCGGUUGGGGAUGGACUCGCGGCUUAUCAGCUUGUUGGUGGGGUAGUGGCUUACCAAGGCUUUGACGGGUAGCCGGCCUGAGAGGGUGACCGGCCACAUUGGGCCUGAGAUACGGCCCAGACUCCUACGGGAGGCAGCGGUGGGGAAUAUUGCGCAAUGGGCGGAAGCCUGAUGCGGCGACGCCGCGUGCGGGAUGACGGCCUUCGGGUUGUGAACCGCUUUCGCCUGUGACGAAGCGUGAGUGACGGUAAUGGGUAAAGAAGCACCGGCUAACUACGUG
rnacentral:rRNA from 1 species